rnacentral:misc_RNA from 1 species
AUACCUUCAAGCUCUGCUUGGUGUUGGGCGUUGUCACGCGACUCGCCUCAAAUCAAAUUUACUGGCAGUGGCAUAUGGUGCAGCACAUGUACCUGCCCCGUCCGCUAAACCUUA